rnacentral:rRNA from 1 species
GGCCGGUACAAAGGGUCGCAAUACCGCAAGGUGGAGCUAAUCCCAAAAAGCCGGUCUCAGUUCGGAUUGGAGUCUGCAACUCGACUCCAUGAAGUCGGAAUCGCUAGUAAUCGCGUAUCAGCAUGACGCGGUGAAUACGUUCCCGGGCCUU